rnacentral:rRNA from 1 species
CCCUUAGAUGUCCGGGGCCGCACGCGCGCUACACUGAAGGAAUCAGCGUGGCUUUCUCCCUGACCCGAAAGGGUUGGGAAACCCGUUGAAUCUCCUUCGUGAUAGGGAUAGGGGCUUGAAAUUGUUCCCCAUGAACGAGGAAUUCCCAGUAAGCGCGAGUCAUAAGCUCGCGUUGAUUACGUCCCUGCCCUUUGUACACACCGCCCGUCGCUACUACCGAUUGAACGGUUUAGUGAGGGCCUCGGAUUGGUCUCGGCCCGCUCUUUACCGGGCGGCGCCGUUGGUCGAGAAGACGCUCGAACUUGAUCGUUUAGAGGAAGUAAAAGUCGUAACA